UUUAUAACGUCUAUCUGCUUGUCUUCAUUUGCAUGAAAAAAAAUCAUAUAAACAAUGUAUGCGGAUAGUCAACUCAAACAAAAUAGUAGUAAUUAAAUAGCAAUAAUAAAGAAGGAGCCUACAGCACCCCGGAUUCCCAUGUUGUCUCCAACCAUAGUACUAACGAGGCCCUCAGACGCUUAACUGCAGUGAUCGGACGGGAACUGGUGUUUUCGCCUAGGUAUGGCCGUAGACAGCUGUUAAGUUUUAAUAAAGUAUAUAAACGAUAGUUAUCACUCAUUAGGAAUUCGAAUGUAUGUUGGCUCCACUACGAAUAAGAUAUGAAUGUUAGCAAUAUAACCUGAAA